AACGAACGCUGGCGACGUGGAUAAGACAUGCAAGUCGAACGGGAUUAUUUUUGUAGCAAUACAGAAAUAAUUCAGUGGCGAACGGGUGCGUAACACGUGGGCAAUCUGCCGAAAAGUGGGGGAGUAGCUCGCCGAAAGGACGAAUUAAUACCGCAUGUGGUGAGGGACGACAUCUUCCUGAAUCCAAAGCCGGGGUAACCUGGCGCUUUUUGUAGGAGCCCGCGGCCUAUCAGCUAGNGGUUGAGGUAACGGCCCACCAAGGCUAUGACGGGUAGCUGGUCUGAGAGGACGACCAGUCACACUGGAACUGAGACACGGUCCAGACACCUA
rnacentral:rRNA from 1 species